rnacentral:rRNA from 1 species
CCUACGGGAGGCAGCAGUAGGGAAUAUUGCUCAAUGGGGGAAACCCUGAAGCAGCAACGCCGCGUGGAGGAUGAAGGUGUUCGGAUUGUAAACGCCGUGUGGUAGAGAAGAGAAUGACGGUAGCUAACGAAUAAGCACCGGCUAACUCCGGGCCAGCAGCCGCGGUAAUACGGAGGGUGCAAGCGUUACUCGGAAUCACUGGGCGUAAAGAGCGCGUAGGCGGGAUUGGAUGUCAGAGGGGAAAUCCUAUGGCUUAACCAUAGAACUGCAUUUGAAACUGUUAUUCUAGAGUUUGGGAGAGGUCGGUGGCAUUCUUGGUGUAGCGGUCAACUCCGU